AUACGUAGGGGGCAAGGCGUUGUCCGGAAUUAUUGGGCGUAAAGCGCGCGCAGGCGGCGACUUAAGUCUGGUGUUUAAGCCCGGGGCUCAACCCCGGUACGCACUGGAAACUGGGUGGCUGGAGUGCAGGAGAGGGGAGUGGAAUUCCACGUGUAGCGGUGAAAUGCGUAGAGAUGUGGAGGAACACCAGUGGCGAAGGCGACUCUCUGGCCUGUAACUGACGCUGAGGCGCGAAAGCGUGGGGAGC
rnacentral:rRNA from 1 species